rnacentral:rRNA from 1 species
AACGAACGCUGGCGGCAGGCUUAACACAUGCAAGUCGAACGCCCCGCAAGGGGAGUGGCAGACGGGUGAGUAACGCGUGGGAAUCUACCUAGUUCUACGGAACAACUGAGGGAAACUUCAGCUAAUACCGUAUACGCCCUAUGGGGGAAAGAUUUAUCGGAAUUAGAUGAGCCCGCGUAAGAUUAGCUAGUUGGUGAGGUAAUGGCUCACCAAGGCGACGAUCUUUAGCUGGUCUGAGAGGAUGAUCAGCCACACUGGGACUGAGACACGGCCCAGACUCCUACGGGAGGCAGCAGUGGGGAAUAUUGGACAAUGGGCGCAAGCCUGAUCCAGCCAUGCCGCGUGAGUGAUGAAGGUCUUAGGAUUGUAAAAUUCUUUCACCGAGGAAGAUAAUGACGGUACCCGGAGAAGAAGCCCCGGCUAACUUCGUGCCAGCAGCCGCCGUAAUAC